CGCACGGCCGCGGGAGGAGCGCGACGUGGCUUUACUGGGGUGCCCAACACUGAACCCCAGUGCUUAGACAUUCUUUGGAUUUGUUUGUUUUUCCUCUAUAAGAAGUAGGCGGUACGAGCAGAGACGGGUUACAUUUUGCGGGAAGCUUCUGACUGCGUAUUAAUUGAGUUACGGCGAAUAGUCCCUCCCACAAGGUAGCUACGUGAUGCGUCACUGCGCUUACGUGUAGUUGUGACGCCAGUCUCCCGUGAUGAGACUUGCGGCGCUGAGAUCUUCUGUAAGACUGGGGGCUAGGCGCUUGCCCUAAACAGGAAGCAGCGAUUUGGGUCCUGGGGCAGUGUAGGGAAAGAACGUACAGGCACCCUAGCACGUUGCCUGGCAGCCAAGCCCCCUUAACACCUAAAACCUCCCGGGCGCUGGUAGACUGGGCCGCUCCCGAUGGCGGACACCCCAGGGUGUUGGAAAGUAUGUGGUGCAGUAGUGAGAGAAGCCUCUGUGUAUGUACUGUCAUAUAUUGUGUGUUUUAUUUACAGCGUUAACCCUGUGAUCAGUGUGACGUUGCAUGAAGGAGAGUGAAAAUGUAUAAAGCUAAUUGGGCCCUUGUAAGAGAGCAAUUGGUUUAGUUGCGUGCAGCAUAGCUAUGGACAUACAAAUCAGUCCCACAAUAUAGUGUGCAGUGAGCAGCCGGGGAAUAGUGCAACGCUGUGUGCUGCUGUAUUGCUGCAACUCAAGUGCUAUCAGUGCUGUACCACGUGCCAAAGAGUUACUUGAGCAAUUGUCACAUCAGCUUUGGGAGAGAGGAAGGUGUUGGCAAUUACAGAGGAGAGGGAAGCUCAUUCCUCCUCAAUAAAACACUAGUCAAAAUCCUUGUUUUCCCCCUUUUAUAUUUCACUUUGUGCGUUUCAUCUGCAUCAAGCAUUCAAGCGCAUAUAUAGAAUGUUACAUCAUUAUCAUUUAAAUAAAUGCUCGGGGGUCCAAGUCCUAAGUGAUUAUGUGCUUCCAUACACAAUAUUAUAAUAAUUCAUGUGUUUUACGUUGCAUGAAUAUGUGUUGCCAAACUGCCUGACACUGGUAGCCUUACCCCAAAUGAUCUUGCUUCUAUAAACUACUUGUUUCUUCUCAACUGCCCCCGCAUCUGAUAUUUUUCAUUCAGUUCAGAGAUUGGCUCGUUUGUGUUGGGAACAGUGGAUGAUCAGUCUGUGUGUGCUCACAUGCUGCACAGCUGAGAUUGAGUUCAGCCCAAAUACACGGAAGAAGAUAUUUGCAGGCUGACCUCCUCCGCUGUGUGUGAGCACAUACUGGCUGAUCAGAUUCAAAUCAAUGGAGCAGAGACAGGGAGCAGAUUUGUUUAUCUCUGCCUGCAAAAAUACGCUGACUGACAACAGCCGGAGCCUUCAGCCUGUGUGCCUAUAACUUUAACAGAAAGUAGACAUUGUCCUUCCUAAGGGGGUGCAGGCAAGGGCCCUUUUUAAAUAGUUUAGAGAGCCAGGAAUGCGGAUCACUAUGCAAACUACUGCCAUCAACUAGCAGAUGGCAUGCCUGCUUUAUGUCAGACAUCUAAGUUUGAUAUGAAAUUGCUCCAGAAUCAUGCAAAGUAAACAAAGCUAUGUACAAAAAUAUUCUGUUUUAAAAACCCAGUUAGACAAUGUUUUUUUUUACCCGCCUAGAUGAACUUCCCAUUUAAGAGCCUGCUAAGUAUUCUGAAACGUUGGUUCCUAUUGCAGACCCCCAGUGAAACACACUUCACAUUUAAAAUCUAGAUACUAAGUGGAUUAUUGUUACAUUUCUUUUUAGUGAUCAUCACCCAUGCUCCCCUCUACUAAGUGAUGCCCUUGGGCCAAGUAUAUGGGGGGGAGGGAAGACAAGGGGAGGAGAAAUAGUUCACAGCAUGGGGAAACAAGUGCUGAUGGACAUGGGGGAUAGGCUACUAGUAUAUAUUAUCUAAAUUGGAAACCAAGUAUCUUGGUGGGAGACAUAAGAGGAGACAUACAAUAGUAACAUAAUAAAGAACCUGACCUAGGGUAUAUUUAAAGCCAGAGGAUGUAGCACAGAUGACUAAACCAACAAAAAAAAAUCAAUGAUACUUGGCCCAAGGGCAUCACUUAGUAUCUGCAGAGAGCCGGAGACUUUAACUAUUACAUUGCCUUUUCCAUAAUAUCCAUUAUAACAUAGUAACCAUAAUGUAGAGAUCAGACGGGAGGGACUAUUGGUGCAUGUGCAAUACAACCAGGAAGCUCGCAACCCUGAAAAAAUGGCCGCCAGGAAAAUGCUUGAAUCUACCGAGAAAGAACAGAGUGGUGCAGGGAGCAGGAGGGGAAUUUCGGUGCGAAACUAAUUCGGUUCGGGUUGGGUUAAGGUAGGCGUAUUUGUCUGAAAACUCCUAGAUCUCCUCAAAGACCUACAGGACCGUUUACACCACACAGACGAGGUCUCUCUCUCCCUGCCCCUCCGGUUUCCUGUUUCGCUCCGCCCACCCAUGAUGCCUCUCCUCACUUUCCAGCCUCAAAGGAUCUUUCUCCUCCUCACAGUCUCUCGCUCCCCCUCCCACCAUGGCAAAAUCUCCCUCUCAUGUUCAGCUGCCCCUCCCAUCCUCCGUGUCCACAGUCUCACUCGUGUUGCUUUUCCUCAUGCUCAGUUAAAGGCAGAGCUGAUGAUCUCACCCAUGGCAGAAGAGAAAUUUGCGCUUUCCAUAUGCUUUCUGCUUGUAGAUUUAUAUCUUCUGACAUUCCAAACUGAAAAAGCUUUGCACCUGUUGGUGGUUCUUGAAAAAAUGAUUUUACAGGGGCACAGCAAUAAGAAUGCAAUGCUAAUAAUAAAGAACCCUUUGCCCAGAGGGGUGAUGGCGGAGUUCAUGUAGAAGCAGCAAAAUCGAAAUCAUCAGUAUAAGGUGAGAGCCUACAUUCAAAUGAAGUCUCUAAAAGCAUGUAAGAGGGAAAUAAAGUCCGUGAUUAAUACAUCUGGAAAGGAGAUAGGGUAAAUGACCCUUGCUUUAAAAAUGACCCAGAGUGGAGUGAUCAAGAAUUAGUUUCUAUACAAAAUACACCUCCAGAUGAGAGAAUGGGAAACACAGCAUGGUGUAAAUGUGGAAAGUGCAUUCCUAUGCCAACCAGAGAUGAGUCCUGCUGCUGCACGGAAAUCCAGGACGUAGCACAUUAUUUUGAAGGUGAUGUCAUUUGCAUAACCACUGUGGAUGAUAUGUUGGAUAUGUGCAUGGAAGAAAAUCGACUGGAUUUCAUAAGAUGCAGCUGCCGUUACUCAAGAGCAGCAUAUAGUCGUGAUCGAAACCGGUAAUUUUAAUAAAGAUGAUUAAUGAAUAGUGUAUUAUAGUGUAAUGACAUAUCACAACAAUGUUUAUAACAAUCUGACACCCCCAAAGCAUUUAAAAUUACCCAUUUUAUACUCCAGGACUUUAUACUAUCUGGCCUUUGUACUUUGCUACUGAGCAGGGGGGCAUAUGUUUUUCUAUAUUCCUAAGUGAAGUGUUGCUAUGUUUUAACCUAUAUGUGCAGAACACUACAGGCCUGCACAUUGCACAACAGGUAGGGAAUCCUAUUCAGUUUUGAUCAUGACAAGCGGCUGAAGUAUGGCAAAUUUGACAAUUGAAGGAUUAAUUUGGCUGCCUCUUGUUUUAUUAAAAAAAACUUUGCUUGCAUGUAUUCUUUUUUUUUCUUCAAUUUUUUUUAAAGGGAGAUAAGAGAAUGUGACAGCAGUGAGCCAUGCUGAUAAUUACAAUGGGCCUGCAUAUCAAUGUAGCACAGGCGAAAGGAACAAUGUGAUCCUUUUGAACAAAUGUGAAAUACACAAAACUAAAAAAAAAAAAGCAUACAUUUUUAUUAAACUUUAAAAUUUCAAAUUAAAAAGUGUAUACCAUCCCCUAUUUACAGAUGUGCUCUUUAAAACAGGACAAUAGUUUUCCACAUCUAGAGUGUACACUCUGCCAGCCUGAAGCUGUUGUGGUGAGGAGAAUCAUUUGUAUUCAAGCUAUUAAAAACCAUAAACCCAUAUUGAAUUUCUGUUUAGAGAGAUUGUGCUCUCUUACCAAAAAACUAGUUUGAAAGUGGUUGACUAUGGCAUAGCCCUAUCCUGACAGGCCAGAAUAUGCCUAAUCUAAUUGCUAUGCCAUGUUCCCCUUUGUUUGCAUUCCUUUCUGUCUGUUCUCCAAUACUGAUCUUUCUGGAAUAUGCUCAGUCAGAUGUUGUGUGAUUGAGCAUAUUCUGCAAGAUGUAUCCAUAUCAGUGAACUGAAAGAAGAGAAUGCAAAGACAGGGGAAGAUAUUGUCUGGGAAUUCGGCUGUGCAACUCUGCAGGGAGGGUGCUUGGAGGGGGCAAUGGAGGCAGGUUGAGGGGGCUUAGGAUGGGGGUUAGUUUAGAACUUAUGUUUGGCUCCAAAUGUAUUAUAAGUAAUGUAUUUAAGGAAAUGUAUCACUAUAUAAUCUAAAGCAUCUAGUCAUUUUAUCAAUGUAUAUUAUAGUCAUUAUUUUUUUUUU